UAGAGGAGUGGUCCCGCGGGGGGGUCUCCGGGCGGCGGCGCGGGCCUGGGCUUCCUCUCCUCCCCUCGCCCGGCUCACCAGAAUUCUGGCAACCCGCAAACUAGGUGCCGCGGGGAGACCUAUGGGCCCGUAGGGGUGACAUCACCUGCCCCCCCAGGAUCUCUAAGCGCAAUUGGAAGGGUUGGUGAGGCUGCCAGGCCCCUCCCCGAGGCAAGCCUGAGGGGCGGCGCUGAUAGGGUUAAUGUCCUGUGCCCGUGGGAAGGCUUGGCAGCCUGGGACUCCUGCCUUCCAAACCUGAAGACUGCCUCCUCAUCUAUUUAAACACCCUUGACCUAAGAACGGAGCAGUUCAGGAGCAGCGGCUGGAACAAGGAGAUGCAACGUGAAAUGCUUUCACCAUCAACCCCAAUCUGUCAGAACAGCAGGGAAGUUUUCCUGUGGAGAGACAGCCCUGAUUCAGCUAAGAGCAGACCUGCAUCUGCACCUCCAGGCACUGAAUCAGCACCCAUUCACCGCCUCCUCCAAGCUGCCACUAACCACGUGCUCACUGUCUACUCCAUUGGGCCAACACUGUCCACCUUCCUGGGCCAGAAGGGCUUGGCUGGCAAUGAGGAACUAAAUGGGAAGGAGAUACAUCCCAUUCUGAAGACUGAGAACUCUGAGAGGGUUGGAACCACGUCUUUCUUGAUUGCCACCAUAAACUCAGCACCUUGCACAAAUACUGGUUUCAAUGAAUGAAUAUGCAAAUGAAUAAAUGAAUGACCAAAUAUGUUUCUGGUCACAAGGAACCGGGAAUGAGGGAGUACAGAUGCUCCAGCAAGCCCAGCUCCACCAAAUGGAAAAAGAGCUGGGAUGUCAUGUCUAGGAUGGCCACACUCUCUGGAGAGAUUCAGAAAAAACAACAGGACCCUAGGAUAGGAUCUGGAACAGGAGAACUGCUGCUGCUCCGAUUAAUUCUCUAACUACUCUCACAAAACCCCAAUUAAAAAUUCCCAGAGGCACAGGCUUCCUUGCUAAGCAGCUGGCAUUCGGUGCUGUACUCCUUUUUAUCCAAUCAGACUUCAACACGGAAAUGGAAUAGAAAUCCAGAAAUGGUUCAGCCCAUCAAGGGAACUUUGGUCUCAAUUCUCAGAGUCCUUCUCCUAGGCCUGUCCCAAAUUUGCAAUCAAUUUGUUUAUAGGGGAAGCAGGCAAAUUGUAGCUCUUUCCCAGCGAAAAGCAGCCCCAGAGUGCAUGCCUGUCCCAUCUCUCCCCCGUCUUGGAGGGUGGCAACGUAGAGAGCCUGAGAAAGAAGAUGCUCAUGGCCUGGAGUGAUGCUGAAGCCGUCACCCACCAGAUCGCAGGGAAUGGCUUCGAUGCACCUCUCCAACCAGAGGUUAGCUAAGACCCCUGUGCCACCUCUCAAGAGAAGGAAGAAAAUUGGGAUAUCAGCUCUAGGUUCUGCCUCACCCAACCCCCUUCCCAAAUUUCCAUGUGUCUGCUGCCCUGAGAUUAAAGAAGAGCACCAGUACACCCAGAACGUUCUGGAAAAUUCUCUGUUCAGUGCUCUGCAAAGGGUGAGAGGCCCUUGAGGAAGAUAAACACCACUUAGAGAGGAUUAAGACAUUUCCUUUCCCAGAGAAGGACAUUGCCAUUUUGAGAAACCGCAAAGAGGAAGGACAGACAGACUCCAAGGAAUUUUGGUUCCCCUGCAGUGCAACCUGGCACCAGCAUUUUCCGAUGUGGUGGGGAUUAUCUAAUCUCCAGAGCGGCUCUUUCACAAAGGCUGCCCCAGCCCUAUCCCGCCAAGGCUCGGCUGAGUAUUGUGAGGAGCACUUUAAGGAGAACCAUUUCAGAGUCGCUAGGAAACAAGGUCCUUAUCUCACACUCUGGGCAGGACCUCAGGGUGGAGACAGGGAUGGCUGGGGGCCCCCCCACCCCCAGUGCUGCAGCAGCCUCAGCACCAUGUUGGAUGAUUUCAAGCCUUUGUCCCAUCCACCCCUUCCAGGGUCAGCCCCAAGCCUGAUUUCUAGUCAGACAAGCCAGAGACGGAAGACACUAUCCCUUUGUUUCCUAAUGCCCCUGAAAUCUCAAGCUCUAAGAGCCUUCUUAGAUGUAGGCCAUGACUCAGAUGAAACCUGGUUCUGCACUCCAAGCCCUCUCUCGAGGCCCAGAAUCUUCCAGACAAGUCAUUGCCCAAUCCCCACCGAGUUAUUUUCCAGGUUCCUAUUUCUGUCUGAUUGUGCAAGUUUCUUUCCUCCUGAAAGCCACAUGUUCAUCACAUGUCACCAGCAGAGGGGGGAAGGGUGCUGGGAAGAGUCCUCUUUCCUGGACCCCAUGUUGAUCCCCAGAGCCUGGGAUAGCGGCUCUCCACCUGUUAUCUCUCAGGGAGCUUGGGGCCACCCAGAGGAGAAGACCAAUGCAAGCCUAAAGGAGAACCAGACUCGGUUUGCCAUUUCCUCAGUUCUUUAUGCAAGUGGUCCCUGCACAUGGGCUCUGUGUCAGGCAGCCCCCGGUGGAAGACGGUAGCAACCAUGCCACACAGUCCAGGAAGGGCCUGGUGCCUCUUAUACUGACCAGCUGGACCUGGGCUCCUGAACAUCUCUGCCCCUUGGAUCCCUGGCUCUUUGGGUCAAAUGCACCCUACUGACUGUCAGAUCAAAGCCAUGCUGGGGGCUACUGAGAUGGAAACCUUUGCUGCUGCUGCACCUGGCCAGUGAGAACCUCGACACUGAGGGUUAGCUUGUUGGGGGCUGUUGGUUUCUUCCUUAGGGAAGGCUGAGCUGUUUUUUCUGGGUUGCUUUUUGUACACGUAAUCCUAUUUGCCUCCUGCCACUACUAACCACAGAUGAGGAAGCUGCCACAGAGAAGCUCUGGCCUCUGGGGAUCCUGGUUCCCUACUGCUCUCUCAUGGAAGCCACACGUGCAACUGUACACGCAAGUAGGCCAACAAGGAAGACUGACAUCCUUCCUGCAAACACCACUACCCACAACAUUAGUAAUGCUAGGUCUGGGCCCUGGGACCUUUCUCCAUCUCCCCGUUUUGCAAAACCAGGCUGCAGAUCAGACCAUGCCUCACAUUGCUGCCCCCACCCUUUCCCCAUUUUCAUGCCACUUUCUUUGUUCUCACCCAUCACUGCCCCCCCUCCCUUUCCCUCACAAAUUUAUUCCCUCCCUCACCUCUCCUGUUCAAAUGCACAAACCAGGCAUUGCCAAAGUUACAAGAUAAACUAUGUAUAACCCCCUAUUGGCCAAAGUUCACAUACCUUACACCGUGUAACCUCCUGAUUGGCAAAAGGCCCUAUAAAAAGAAAUCCCACUACCCAACUGCGCGCUUUCCCCUCGGAGCAGCCUUUCUGCCGACGGGGGCUGCCCUGAGGCUUCUCUCAAAUAAAACUUUUCUUUGAUACCUGCCCAUUUGGCUUCGCUGCCCAUCUUUCGAACCAAACUACCUUAAAAGUACAAAUGAGCACAUCUACCCAAGGCAGAGCUUCUUUCAGAGCCUGGCUUUCAGAACCAGAAAGGAAGAGGUUCAUGCCUUGCAGAGGAAGCGCUCGGCCCAGAUGGAGGCACCAACUUCUGUUGCUUACUUCCCAUCUGGCUGGUCUCAUCCUGCAAGCUAAGUUCAAGUGCAAUGCAAUGUUCUUCCAAGGGGGCUGGUGAAGGGGUGAAAGCUUGAGCUAGGAGUGGACAGGGUCACAGACAACUUGUCCUGGAAAAGAAAACUUCUCUCCAACUCCACAGGUGGUGGGAAGAUGAAGCUCACCAAGGUGCUGCUAUGAAGAACACCCAAGCUGUUGGCUCUGAAGCCACACUGCAAUUAGCACCCUGUCAUUUGCUCAUUUGUAUGCAUUUCACAUGUCAUCAAAAGCCAGCACUGAAGGUGUGAAGUGUAUAGGCUGUU